rnacentral:rRNA from 1 species
CGGGGUGAGUAACGCGUGGAAAACCUGCCGUAUACUGGGGGAUAACACUUAGAAAUAGGUGCUAAUACCGCAUAAGCGCACAGCUUCGCAUGAAGUGGUGUGAAAAACUCUGGUGGUAUACGAUGGUUCCGCGUCUGAUUAGCUUGUUGGUGGGGUAAUGGCUCACCAAGGCGACGAUCAGUAGCCGGCCUGAGAGGGUGAACGGCCACAUUGGGACUGAGACACGGCCCAAACUCCUACGGAAGGCAGCAG